CAUACAAACCACAAGCAUUCACUCUGUUCAACAUGGACUGUUGUGGGCUUUCUCUGCUGGUUGUCACAAUUCUAACAGGAGUCAGCUGUGAACAGCUGACUGCAGUGAAGAAUGAAGAGUCCAGUUUAGAAGGAGCCCCUGUUACUCUGUCCUACAGUUACUCUAAAUUAUCACUUGGUGAUUAUUUCUUCUGGUACCGACAAGAUCCAGGAGAACCUCCAGAGUUCCUGAUCUCUCACCUGGAGUCUGAAGAAAUAAUAAAAGAAUCAAGGUCAGGACUUUUAGUUAAAGUCAGCAAAAAAGAAAAUCGUGUGGACCUGCUGAUCUCCUCUGCUGCAGCGACAGACUCUGCUGUGUACUACUGUGCUGUGAGGCCCACAGUGACAGGAAACAGUAAAAAUGUGUAGAAAACCUGCAGAGCAAAGACAACACAAUACUCCACAACAUCCACUAGAGGGACUCACACACUGGGAACCCACUGGUUGUUGAGUCGUUGGACUGAUGACAAAGACAACAGACACAUGAAGCAGCAGAAACAAGGUGAAGUUGCAAUAAAGUUGGUGGAGUUCAAGUGGUUCAACAUCUAUAAAUUCUGUUUUAUCCAAAUUCAAAAGCAGGAAAUGAUUUUAUAACCAGCCUCUAACAGUGGAUAGGCAUUUUUCUAGUUUAAUCAAGUUGUAAGAGCUACCCAGAGAGAGAGGGACAGGCAGCGGAAUAACAAUAAAAGUUACAUCAAAUGGACAUAGCAGGCCACCCAGAGGCAGCAGAUAGAUUGAGAACAGCAGUGGGCCCAGUACAGACCCUUGAGGAACUCCAUGCUUCAGCACAAAGGUCUCAGACAUGUCCUUCUGAAUCUGACAUCAUGUGAUCUCCCAGACAGCUCUGAUUUCAGCCAUAAGUGUGUUUCCUGUUACUCCCAUAUAACGUUCUAGUCUGUCCAGUGGUCUGCUGUGUCAAAAGCAGCAUUUAGAUUCAGCAGCAACAAGACUGGUUUUUAACCACUGUCCACCUUAAACAACAAGUUCUUCACCAUUUUCACCAGAGAUGUUUCCACGGAAUUAUUUAAUCUGAAUGGAGACUGAAAGGUCUCAAAUAGCUCAUGUGUGGCUAGGUAUUAUAUUAGUUGCUUAGCAAAAACCCUUUCGAAGACCUUCCAUAGGAACAAAAAAGUAGUUCACAAUUAAAUCAGUGUCUAGUCCGUGCUUUUCCAAGAUCGACACAAUUACUGCUGAUUUAAAACAAGCUGGGAUUUGAACGCAAACACUCGCCAGUUUUAAUAAGGUAUGCAAUAAAAACAAGAUACAAGGUGGUAAAACUGGCCAAGAUCAUUUAAUGCAAGAGUUCACAAAUGCAGAGAAGAUUCAGUUCUAUUCCAUUUAUUUAUAUAGCACCAAGUCAUGAUUAGAACUGUGAACUGUAUUGUAUUGUAAACUGUUUCAUUUCCAAUUGGGUUCAGUUCAUUAAAGUAUCUUUCCAGAGUUUUCCCCUUUCAGAAGUGAUGUAUGAUUUGUCAGAAAUCCGUAAAAGUUAUUAUCUUAUUAUGUACUGUGAUAUAACGUAAGCUAUAUGUUUGAUUUUUUUGCUAACCACACCCCCUGCCCCGCACAGCACCGUGCAAUAGGAAACGGAGUGCCGACCAGAACUAACCAAUAGUGUUAGACUACCGGUUACAUGCUUCGAAUGUAAGGAAUACCUCGGCUGAUGUAGGGUUGAUGAACUUUUCACGGAUAAGUACGUCUCUAAAAUAAAAUUAUAUGAAAACACAGCACAACAUGAGAAUAAUACUCGUAAAACAACAUGUUUUAGCUGUUUGUCGGCUACAGAAGCAC